ensembl:snoRNA
CAGCAAGCCUGCAGCGUGCUCGGGUCUGCAGUGACCCUGCUGCAUUCCUACGGUGCUUGCCAGGACACUUUUGAAAUGGUUUGAGGCCUUGCCCUGCCCUCUCCAGAGCAAGUUUAUAGAAAUUCCAGACAAUU